GUGAGAAUCUGGGCUGCCGUGCAGAGAACAGACUACAGGGAAGCAAAGAGAGAAGCUUGGAAGUGAGUUAGAAGAAAUUAGGAUGAAGUUGAGACACAUCAGAUUCUAUUUCUAUUCUGAAGAAUGUGUUUGAAGGAGACAGUGAUCCCGUGCAGGUGUGCUGAGGAGAGGACCACUGAGAGCUCUCCAUUGGAUUUAGCAACAUGGAGGUGAUCAUGACAAGAGCUGUUUAGGUGUGAAGGGCAGCCAUCUGCGGGGCUGCGAGAGAGAGCGCCAGCUUCCAAAACUGAAGCCGGAGAGGCCGACAGGCUCAAGACCACCUCACGCGUCAGCAGCGGUGCUGGGGUUGGUCCCUAAGCUGCAGAAAUCAGAAGGCCAUUCUGAUUUUUUAAAAAUCUGCUUCUAGGGGAUCCCUGGGCGGCUCAGUGGUUUAGCACCUCCCUUUGGCCCAGGGCGUGAUCCUGG